rnacentral:rRNA from 1 species
AUUGAACGCUGGCGGCAGGCCUAACACAUGCAAGUCGAACGGUAACAGGAAGAUGCUUGCUUCUUUGCUGACGAGUGGCGGACGGGUGAGUAAUGUCUGGGAAACUGCCUGAUGGAGGGGGAUAACUACUGGAAACGGUAGCUAAUACCGCAUAACGUCGCAAGACCAAAGAGGGGGACCUUCGGGCCUCUUGCCUUCGGAUGUGCCCAGAUGGGAUUAGCUAGUAGGUGGGGUAACGGCUCACCUAGGCGACGAUCCCUAGCUGGUCUGAGAGGAUGACCAGCCACACUGGAACUGAGACACGGUCCAGACUCCUACGGGAGGCAGCAGUGGGGAAUAUUGCACAAUGGGCGCAAGCCUGAUGCAGCCAUGCCGCGUGUAUGAAGAAGGCCUUCGGGUUGUAAAGUACUUUCAGCGGGGAGGAAGGGAGUAAAGUUAAUACCUUUGCUCAUUGACGUUACCCGCAGAAGAAGCACCGGCUAACUCCGUG